GAUUAACGCUGGCGGCGUGCCUAACACAUGCAAGUCGAGCGGCAGCGAGUUUUACACUGAAUUCUGGAAACUUCUGGUAUAAAUAGAAGAGUUAUUCAAGAAUUUUGUGUAAAAUGUCGGCGAGCGGCGGACGGCUGAGUAACGCGUGGGAAUGUACCCCAAAGUGAGGGAUAACGCACCGAAAGGUGUGCUAAUACCGCAUAUGAUCUUCGGAUUAAAGCCUUCGGGCGCUUUGGGAACAGCCUGCGUCAGAUUAGAUAGUUGGUGAGGUAAUGGCUCACCAAGUCGACGAUCUGUAACUGGUUUGAGAGGAUGAUCAGUCAGACUGGAACUGAGACACGGUCCAGACUCCUACGGGAGGCAGCAGUGAGGAAUCUUCCACAAUGGGCGAAAGCCUGAUGGGGCAACGCCGCGUGCAGGAUGAAGGCCUUCGGGUUGUAAACUGCUUUUAUAAGUGAGGAUUAUGACAGUAACUUAUGAAUAAGGAUCGGCUAACUACGUGCCAGCAGCCGCGGUCAUACGUAGGAUCCGAGCGUUAUCCGGAGUGACUGGGCGUAAAGAGUUGCGUAGGUGGUUUAAUAAGCGAAUAGUGAAAUCUGGUGGCUCACCAUUCAGACUAUUAUUCGAACUGUUGAACUCGAGAGCAGAAGAGGUAGCUGGAAUUUCUAGUGUAGGAGUGAAAUCCGUAGAUAUUAGAAGGAACACCGAUGGCGUAGGCAGGCUACUGGGCUGUUUCUGACACUGAGGCACGAAAGCGUGGGGAGCGAACCGGAUUAGAUACCCGGGUAGUCCACGCCGUAAACGAUGGAUACUAGCUGUUUGGGGUAUCGACCCCCUGAGUAGCGAAGCUAACGCGUUAAGUAUCCCGCCUGUGGAGUACGAUCGCAAGAUUAAAACAUAAAGGAAUUGACGGGGACCCGCACAAGCGGUGGAUCAUGUUCUUUAAUUCGAUGAUAACCGAUAAACCUUACCAGGUCUUGACAUCCUUGGAAUCUUUCAGAAAUGAGAGAGUGCUUUUUAAGAACCAAGUGACAGGUGAUGCAUGGCCGUCGUCAGCUCGUGUCGUGAGAUGUUUGGUUAAGUCCAUCAACGAGCGCAACCCUUGUGAAUAGUUGUAUUUUUCUAUUCAGACUGCCCCGGCAACGGGGAGGAAGGAGGGGAUGACGUCAGGUCAGUAUUUCCCUUACGUCCUGGGCUAGAAACGUGAUACAAUGGCUAGUACAAUGCGCAGCGAAGCCGCGAGGUGAAGCAAAUCGCAUCAAAGCUAGUCCCAGUUCGGAUUGUAGGCUGAAACUCGCCUGCAUGAAGUCGGAAUCGCUAGUAAUCGCAGAUCAGCAUGCUGCGGUGAAUACGUUCCCGGGUCU
rnacentral:rRNA from 1 species